GAUGAACGCUCGCUACAGGCUUAACACAUGCAAGUCGCGGGGCAGCAUGGGGGUUGCUUGCAAUCCCCGAUGGCGACCGGCGCACGGGUGAGUAACGCGUAUCCAACCUGCCCUUCACCACGGGAUAACCCGGCGAAAGUCGGACUAAUACCGUAUGUUGUCCAUUGACGGCAUCCGAUUUGGACGAAAGGUUUGGCGGUGAAGGAUGGGGAUGCGUCCGAUUAGCUGGACGGCGGGGUGACGGCCCACCGUGGCGACGAUCGGUAGGGGUUCUGAGAGGAAGGUCCCCCACACUGGAACUGAGACACGGUCCAGACUCCUACGGGAGGCAGCAGUGAGGAAUAGUGGUCAAUGGGCGUAAGCCUGAACCAGCCAAGUAGCGUGCAGGAUGACGGCCCUAUGGGUUGUAAACUGCUUUUAUGCGGGGAUAAAGUGGCCCACGUGUGGGUUUUUGCAGGUACCGCAUGAAUAAGGACCGGCUAAUUCCGUG
rnacentral:rRNA from 1 species